rnacentral:rRNA from 1 species
UACGUAGGGGCCAAGCGUUGUCCGGAGUUACUGGGCGUAAAGGGCGCGCAGGCGGUUGGUUACGUCGUGUGUGAAAGCCCCCGGCUCAACCGGGGAGGGUCGCGCGAAACGGGCCGACUGGAGGCAAGGCGAGGGCGGUGGAAUUCCCGGUGUAGUGGUGAAAUGCGUAGAGAUCGGGAGGAACACCAGAGGCGAAGGCGGCCGCCUGGACUUGACCUGACGCUGAGGCUCGAAGGCGUGGGGAGCGAACGGGAUUAGAUACCCCGGUAGUCC